AGUUAAUGAACUUGAAUAAGUUUAUGUUUUGAAAACAUAUUAUAGUAAUUUAAAUUUACUAUUAACUU
rnacentral:tRNA from 1 species